rnacentral:rRNA from 1 species
UACGAGGGGGGCAAGCGUUGUUCGGAAUUACUGGGCGUAAAGCGCACGUAGGCGGCUUCUUAAGUCGGUGGUGAAAUCCUGGAGCUCAACUCCAGAACUGCCUUCGAUACUGGGAAGCUCGAGUCCGGGAGAGGUGAGUGGAACUGCGAGUGUAGAGGUGAAAUUCGUAGAUAUUCGCAAGAACACCAGUGGCGAAGGCGGCUCACUGGCCCGGUACUGACGCUGAGGUGCGAAAGUGUGGGGAGCAAACAGG